UCUCUUGUGCUCGGGCACGCGCUAUCGCCAGUGAGGUUCCUACCGAGGCAUAGCCAUUUGCUGAUUGCAAAUUCACAAUCCGUCUACGUGCUGCGGCUCACGCUGUAUGCCAAUUUUUGGAACCACCGGCGUCUUCGACGAUGCCUUUUCUUUGUUUCUUUGUCGUUGUCUGUGGGCUGUUCUGUCGUUAUGGUG
rnacentral:snRNA from 20 species